GGGCGGGGCAAGGCUAAUUCAUGACUCCAUUUUGUACUGUGGGGCAGGGCAGAGCUAUCCUCCAUUUUGUGUAACUGGACCCUAGCCCUCACCCAACCAAUCGGGGUCAGCCAAAGCAGUGACAUCAUCACCCCUAUAAAAUCCAUUGAACUGCCAAGACCGGUUUGGCUCAAUGGAUAGAGCAUCGGCUUGGGGACUGAAGGGUCC